GACGAACGCUGGCGGCGUGCUUAACACAUGCAAGUCGAACGGUGAAGCGCCUUCCUUUUUGGUGGGUGUGGAUGAGUGGCGAACGGGUGAGUAACACGUGAGUAACCUGCCCCCUUCUUCUGGAUAACCGCAUGAAAGUGUGGCUAAUACGGGAUAUUCUGGGUCUGUCGCAUGAUGGGUCUGGGAAAGAUAUUGUUUCGGUGGGGGAUGGGCUCGCGGCCUAUCAGCUUGUUGGUGGGGUGAUGGCCUACCAAGGCGGUGACGGGUAGCCGGCCUGAGAGGGUGGACGGUCACACUGGGACUGAGACACGGCCCAGACUCCUACGGGAGGCAGCAGUGGGGAAUAUUGUACAAUGGGCGCAAGCCUGAUGCAGCGACGCCGCGUGAGGGAUGGAGGCCUUCGGGUUGUGAACCUCUUUCGCCAGUGAAGCAGGCCUGCCUCGUUUGUGAGUGGGUUGACGGUAGCUGGAUAAGAAGCGCCGGCUAACUACGUG
rnacentral:rRNA from 1 species